AAAAAACUGAUGUAUCAAAAUAAAAUAAAAUAUUGUUGUAUAAUGAGCAUUUCAAAAUCUUCAUUUAUACAGGCCUCAAACGACAGCUGUGUGACCUCGGGCAAGUUAUUUAACCCGGUUUGCUUCAGUUCCUCAUCUUGAAAUGAUCCUGAACAACUUGGAGGAAUCUAUGAGAAAAAACAUGUGGAUAAUGUGGAUAAUUCAGAGGAAAAACUGUGAGAGUAGAAACAUAGAAGAAAAACAACUGCUUGACUACAUGGGUCGAGGGGUAUUGUUGGAGAUGUAGACUAAAUGAACAUCUUAGCAACCAGCAACAUGAAAACAGCAUCUUCAUACAGAUGAAAAGGGACAAUUUAUAUACAGAAGAAAUAUUGGGACAUAGAGAUGACAACUUCCUUGCUUGGAGUUAUCUAGACUAAAGGUAUUUCUCUCCUGCAUUGUGCUUUGGAAUAUUGUAUUGACUUCAAUGUCAAUGAGUUUAAGAACUCAUCCAUUUGAGUACCCCACCACUACCAAUGG
rnacentral:lncRNA from 1 species